AUUGAACGCUGGCGGCAUGCCUUACACAUGCAAGUUGAACGGCAGCACGGGGCAACCUGGUGGCGAGUGGCGAACGGGUGAGUAAUGCAUCGGAACGUACCUUUCAGUGGGGGAUAACGUAGCGAAAGUUACGCUAAUACCGCAUAUUCUGUGAGCAGGAAAGCCGGGGAUCGCAAGACCUUGGGCUGAUUGAGCGGCCGAUGUCAGAUUAGCUAGUUGGUGAGGUAAAGGCUCACCAAGGCGACGGUCUGUAGCGGGUCUGAGAGGAUGAUCCGCCACAUUGGAACUGAGACACGGUCCAGACUCCUACGGGAGGCAGCAGUGGGGAAUUUUGGACAAUGGGGGCAACCCUGAUCCAGCCAUGCCGCGUGAGUGAAGAAGGCCUUCGGGUUGUAAAGCUCUUUCGGCCGGGAAGAAAUCGCACGGGCUAAUACCCUGUGCGGAUGACGGUACCGGAAUAAGAAGCACCGGCUAACUACGUGCCAGCAGCCGCUGUAACAC
rnacentral:rRNA from 1 species